rnacentral:rRNA from 1 species
CCUACGGGAGGCAGCAGUGAGGAAUAUUGGGCAAUGGACGAGAGUCUGAACAAGCCAAGUAGCGUGAAGGAUGACUGCCCGAUGGGGUGUAAACUUCUGUUAUAGGGGAAUAAAAUGUUCCACGUGUGGGAUGUUGUAUGGACCAUAUGAAUAAGGAUCGGCUAACUCCGUGCCAGCAGCCGCGGUAAUACGGAGGAUCCGCUCGUUAUCCGGAUUUAUUGGGGUGAAAGGGAGCGUAGGGGGAUUGUUAAGUCAGUUGUGAAGGUUUGCGGCUCAACCGUAAAAUUGCAGUUGAAACUGGCAGUCUUGAGUACAGUAGCGGUGGUCGUCCUUCGUUGUGUAGCGGUGCCAUGCUUCGAUUUCAC